CUUAUCAGGAAAAUAUGGAAACUUUAAUGAGAAACAGGGAACUUACAGAAACACGGAUGAUGCAAGCCCUAAAGGAGGAGCUUGCCUUGGCUGAAAGACGGGCAGAAGAAGAGCGUGCAGCUCAUAAUGCCACCAAAAAGGCUGCAAUGGAGAGGGAAGUAGAGUUGGAACACCGAGCUGUUGACGCAUCUACUGGCCUUGCUAGACUGCA